UCAAAUUAAAAUCUAAGUUUAGUAUUUUAUUUACAAUAAAAAGUUUGAUUAUUAAAAUAAUCUAAUUUGAA
rnacentral:tRNA from 1 species